GUUCUCACAGAUGGAGUGGAAAACAUUAAAUUCUGGUGUCGUGUGUAAGGAAUAGCAGUGACAUUAGUGGAGUAUGUCUACUCCUGCAUCUCCAACUGCUGCUCGUAAGGAGAGAAUUUUCACAGGGUCCAUCUAAUGGGGAAAACAAUGACAAUAGUGGUGGAUGGCUUGGAGCAAUUGGUGGGGUGGUGGGAGAAUGGCUACAAGGAUGGGGAUUGCUUGGGGUGCUGCGGAAGAAGACAGGAGUGCCAGGUGGUGUGCGAUCAACUCCAGCCACUCCUCCCACACACAGUCAUCCUUCUACUCCAUCACAUGAGCAUAUUGAGUUGAGACAGUUGAACUUGCAGGCAUGGUAAACGAUGAGAUAUCUGAAAGACAGAGACUGAAGGGGACAGAAAUAGACAGCAGUAUGUAAUAAGGUAGUGACAAAUGAAGAGAAUCACUGUUGUAACAUUCUGUUCUUUGAGGCUUGUAUUUGUGCUGCAGCAUUGCUACAGCAUUGCUUUGUGCUGUGCUGCAGUAAUGCAGCCAUUUUUUAAUUGUCUGCUGUAAUUCUGCUCUUCACUAACAUAUUCUGUUGUUUUACU